rnacentral:rRNA from 1 species
ACGAGCACGAGUUUUUUCCUUACCGAAAGGUUUGGGUAAUCUUGUUAAACUCUGUCGUGCUGGGGAUAGAGCAUUGCAAUUAUUGCUCUUCAACGAGGAAUUCCUAGUAAGCGCAAGUCAUCAGCUUGCGCUGAUUACGU